UCAGAAGGCAGUGAUUUUGGGGCAUCUCCACCAUGGCCUGGACUCUGGUCCUCCUCACCUUUCUCUCUCAGGGCACAGGGUCCUGGGCCCAGUCUGCCCUGACUCAACCUUCCUCGGUGUCUGGGACUUUGGGCCAGACUGUCACCAUCUCCUGUGAUGGAAGCAGCAGUAACAUUGGCAGUAAUAAUUAUAUCGACUGGUACCAACAGUUCCCAGGCACCUCCCCCAAACUCCUGAUUUACUAUACCAAUAAUCGGCCGUCAGGGAUCCCUGCUCGCUUCUCUGGCUCCAAGUCUGGGAACACGGCCUCCUUGACCAUCUCUGGGCUCCAGGCUGAAGAUGAGGCUGAUUAUUACUGCAGCGCAUAUGCUGGUAGUAAUAGUUUCCACAGUGGUACAAGCUCAUGA